UCGUCCGCCCUCCCUCAAAGAUGCACCAGUCCUUAUUCAGUCAAUGUCAUCUCACAGCAAACCGCUGAAAACCAAGACGAGCGUGCCUGCAUUAAAAGCAGCUGAUCAAUGUCCCUGCGUAAAACGCCCGAUAAUCCCUACACAGAGCUGGCAUCUGGCAUCAGAUGCAGCAUGCCAGAGAGAUGAACAGGAAAAGUAUCCAUUGCAUGUUCCUGGCACCUUCUGCUGGCACACGGGUGGGCGGAGAGCAGCGAAAGGGCUCCCGGGAUUCAAAAAUCCCCCCGUCUCAGCGGAUCGGCACAAUCUUUAAAGGCCGUAUGGCUUCGGCGGAGCCACCAUUCCAAAAUGAGGAGUUCAAGGUCUUUUCUUCAGUGGAACUGGUUUUGAGGGGAUUUUUGUCUGAUUACGUCCUCUCAAGUGAAAAGCAAAUUAGCUGAGAAGAGAUUCCACAGCAAACAUCAGACAACUGUGAAACAAAAGCAGCCAGGCAUGAAUGUUCACCACAAUGAAAAAUGAUGACAAACUGUGUACACUUUAAAAGCUGGGAUUAACAGCAAGUAUCCACCUCUCAGCAUGAGUCAUUUCCCAGUUAUUUCUGUACUUGAUUGGAUCAGCACCAAAGCUGCAAAGCAUUUGCUGGGCUCCAGGUGUGUUGCAAAAGGUACUCCCCCACAUAUUAUGAGUGGCCAUGCAACUGAAUGACCAGAUCAUGCAUUCUUCUGGGACAGCAUUCCAGAAGAGCUUGCAAAGGAGUACAGAACACCGUGGAGCUUCAAAGACCUGGAAUCAUCUGUGAGAGAAUCAUCAUCUGAGAAAAGUUAUUUAUUUGUAAAGAAGGUUGAGCUAUUUGGUCUAUGCAUUUAUUUGCUUUAUACAUGUACAAGCAUGAAGUACUGAGCUACACUGAUUCCAUAUGCUGGGAAUGAGAGGGGAAGAUAUACACACAACAAUAAUGUUUCUUCAAAGGCAUGGCAAAUCAGAAGAAUAAAGAAUGAGAGACACUUGAAAGACUUGAAUAUGUUCCUAGGUGUAAACAUAUUGGAUACAGCAGCCCCAUUAAUCCUGAGUCUUUAGCACAGCUCUCUGCCUCAGCCUGACCCUAGGUUGCCAGCACAAGCAUGGGUAGAAUGAACUUAUACCUUAUCCCCAUCAUUGCUGGCCUAACAUCCCCCCUCAAUGGAUUCCAGCAGAAAGCAGGUAUCUGAUCCAUAAUGUAUGUCCCACUUGAUUUAAUUAGCCAUACAUGAAAAUCCUUUAUCAAACUCUACACAUAAGUUUAAUGGUCAAUUUUUUUCACACUAACUUUCAGCUAACCUUUCUAUUGUGGUCUAACUAAAGCAGCACAAACACCAACCUGAAAAGCCAACUAGUAAAAGAAAAUGUAUGCAAUACAAGCUGAAUGUAAAGACAAUUGCUAUUUUAUCUGUUUAAUAAACUGUGGAACAGACUCCCAAGUGAUGGAUUCCUGUAAACCACAGCUAGAUCAGAACACUAAUUUCAUUCCAGUACAGGAAGUAUUUUGUAUCACUUUAAAGGUCUCAUGGCUUAAAUGUGUUAAAAUUACAUCCUUAUGAGCAACAUAACCCCCCUGAAGAGAGCUGCCAGUGACACUGGUGUCCAAAAACAAAUAAGCACAAGAAAAAUGGUAACAAGCUUACUGUGUCCACUCCUGCCAGAAGCAUUUCAGUCAUGUUGGCAUAGAUCUCUUCCAAAGUAAGUUCCUUACUCACUAGGAGGUGUGUAAGUAGCCCACCAUUCACUACUUCUCCUUGGUCCAGCUGAGACUGAAUAGCCUUCAAUUUGUUGUCAACAUGGAUUUGACCUUUGGGAUUCAAAAAAAUUGUUAAGCCUCCAUUUUUAUUUUUCUGCUGGUUCCAUUCAGUAACCAAAUUUCUUAUUUACACUACACUGCACAUCCAGGAGAAAAAAAAAUCUGUUUUCUUAAGGAAAAGUCCUCCUAGAGUGAUGGUGGAGGUCCCUGGGUACUCAUGGCACAGAAAGAUUGAGCUGGCAGGAACCGUGGUAGCUCAAACAUGAGAAUGCUGAGCACAAAGAGACUUCAGUUCCCUUCCCUGAGGGAAACCCGAGCUAAAGUUUUUAUGUCCACCUGGCUCGUCACCUGGUGACUCUGCAAGAAGUGCAGCUGCAACUCAGCACAGAGAGGCUGCUACAAGAUGCUAGCAGCAACCAGAAGGUCAAAGCCACAGAACUCAACUGCUUUGAAGAGAAAGAUGAGGACCAUCAAGUAAUAACAAAAAUACAAAUGACAUGCUGAGCAAUUUCACCUACAGCUUCAUGUAUGCUCUAGUGACUGUAAACAGCAUCUCUGGUCAAGCAAGGGAUUCAAGAAGAGAAAAAACUCCUCCAAAAGUUAAUGGCUCACAGAAUGAGCUUAUAAAAAAUGAAAAUACAUGCAGCUUUCUAAUAUUUGAGAAAGAAAAAGGGUUUAAGUUUUUUUAACACUCAAGAACAUUAAAAAAAUAAAACUGCAAAGACAACUCCAUCUUCCUACUUACAUGAAAAUUGGUUCAUAAAGUAGUCUGGAAUGUUUCAUUUACCAAAAAAAAUCCAUAUUGUAGUACAUCACUGUACUCCAAUGUCAACUUAUACACUUCUGUAUAUAUAUAUAAAAAUAAAUUUUACAAAGUUUUUAAUUAAUUGCCAGAGUCUAGUUUAUUAACUUUCUAGUCAGUUUUAGUGGUGAAUAUGUCAGGAUGCUUAAUUAAAAUUUUGCUG